rnacentral:rRNA from 1 species
GUGGGGAAUAUUGGGCAAUGGGCGAAAGCCUGACCCAGCCACGCCGCGUGAGUGAUGAAGGCCUUCGGGUUGUAAAGCUCUGUGGGGAGGGAAGAAAAAGCGGGAGAGUAACUGCUCUCGUGUUGACGGUACCUCCUUAGCAAGCACCGGCUAACUCUGUGCCAGCAGCCGCGGUAAUACAGAGGGUGCAAACGUUGCUCGGAAUUACUGGGCGUAAAGCGCGUGUAGGCUGACAUGCAAGUCGGGUGUGAAAUCCCAGGGCUCAACCUUGGAACUGCACUCGAAACUGCACGUCUUGAGUACUGGAGAGGGAAGCGGAAUUCCGGGUGUAGAGGUGAAAUUCGUAGAUAUCCGGAGGAACACCAGUGGCGAAGGCGGCUUCCUGGACAGUAACUGACGCUGAGACGCGAAAGCGUGGGGAGCAAACAGGAUUAGAAACCCGUGUAGUCC